rnacentral:rRNA from 1 species
UACGAAGGGGGCAAGCGUUGUUCGGAAUUACUGGGCGUAAAGGGCGCGCAGGCGGCCGAUCAAGUCAGAUGUGAAAGCCCCGGGCUCAACCUGGGAAUAGCAUUUGGGACUGGUCGGCUAGAGUUCGGGAGAGGAGAGUGGAAUUCCCAGUGUAGAGGUGAAAUUCGUAGAUAUUGGGAAGAACACCGGUGGCGAAGGCGGCUCUCUGGACCGAUACUGACGCUGAGGCGCGAAAAGCGUGGGGAGCAAACAGG